AGCUUGCCGACGCGCGCACGGAAAGCGUAAAAAACAGUCGGCAAGACUCUACGAGACAUAAAUAUCGUUUCUAUUGGUGGGCAGCGGCCGCACGUGGUCUCUCGCGGCUUGUUGUCGAGACAAUCAAAACAAUAAGAAAACAGUAGGAGACGGCACACGGCUCACUAUAGGAAGCACUCGAGAAAUCGAGAUCUAUAUUGCGAAAAGU
ensembl:ncRNA F46F3.21 ncRNA